GACGAACGCUGGCGGCGUGCCUAAUACAUGCAAGUUGAGCGCUGAAGGUUGGUACUUGUACCAACUGGAUGAGCAGCGAACGGGUGAGUAACGCGUGGGGAAUCUGCCUUUGAGCGGGGGACAACAUUUGGAAACGAAUGCUAAUACCGCAUAAAAACUUUAAACACAAGUUUUAAGUUUGAAAGAUGCAAUUGCAUCACUCAAAGCUAAUCCCGCGUUGUAUUAGCUAGUUGGUGAGGUAAAGGCUCACCAAGGCGAUGAUACAUAGCCGACCUGAGAGGGUGAUCGGCCACAGUGGGACUGAGACACGGCCCAAACUCCUACGGGAGGCAGCAGUAGGGAAUCUUCGGCAAUGGACGAAAGUCUGACCGAGCAACGCCGCGUGAGUGAAGAAGGUUUUCGGAUCGUAAAACUCUGUUGGUAGAGAAGAACGUUGGUGAGAGUGGAAAGCUCAUCAAGUGACGGUAACUACCCAGAAAGGGACGGCUAACUACGUG
rnacentral:rRNA from 1 species